GACGAACGCUGGCGGCGUGCCUAAUACAUGCAAGUAGAACGCUGACGGAGUAGCUUCCUUCUCUUGCGGAGUUGCGAACGGGUGAGUAACGCGUAGGUAACCUGCCUUAUAUCGUGGGAUAACAUUUGGAAACGAUAGCUAAUACCGCAUAAUAUUAGAUGUUGCAUGACAUGUGCGUAAAAGUCGCACUUGCCUCGCUACAAUAUGGCCCUGCGGUGUAUUAUCGAGUUGGUGGGGUAACGGCUCACCAAAGCGACGAUACAUAGCCUCCCUGAGAGGGUGGACGGCCAAACUGGGAAUGAGACAAGGCCCAGACUCCUAAGGGAGGGAGCAGUAGGGGAACAUUGGCAAAGGGCGGAAGGCUGACCGAGGAACGACGCGGGAGGGAAGAAGGGUUUCGGAUCGUAAAGGUCUGUUGUAAGAGAAGAAAGAGCGUGAGAGUGGAAAGUUCACACUGUGACGGUAUCUUACCAGAAAGCACCGGCUAACUACGUG
rnacentral:rRNA from 1 species